rnacentral:rRNA from 1 species
CAGCAGCCGCGGUAACACGAAGGGGGCUAGCGUUGUUCGGAAUUACUGGGCGUAAAGCGUACGUAGGCGGCUUUGUAAGUUAGAGGUGAAAGCCUGGAGCUCAACUCCAGAAUUGCCUUUAAGACUGCAUCGCUUGAACGUCGGAGAGGUGAGUGGAAUUCCGAGUGUAGAGGUGAAAUUCGUAGAUAUUCGGAAGAACACCAGUGGCGAAGGCGGCUCACUGGACGACUGUUGACGCUGAGGUACGAAAGCGUGGGGAGCAAACAGGAUUAGAUACCCCUGUAGUCCCUGUCUCUUAUAC